AGCUGCAGUCGAGAUCUUUCGCAUGGGCGCAAGCCUGACGAAGCGACGCUGUGUGAGUGAUGAAGGCCCUUGGGUUGUAAAACUCUUUCGCCUGGGAACAAGAGAGGGUGGUGAAUAACCAUCUAAUUUGAGCGUACCAGGUAAAGAAGCACCGGCUAACUCC
rnacentral:rRNA from 1 species